CCUUUACGCGCUGGGCUACACACGUGCUACAAUGGCGACUACAGUGGGCUGCAACCGUGCGAGCGGUAGCUAAUCUCCAAAAGUCGUCUCAGUUCGGAUUGUUCUCUGCAACUCGAGAGCAUGAAGGCGGAAUCGCUAGUAAUCGCGGAUCAGCAUGCCGCGGUGAAUACGUUCCCAGGCCUUGUACACACCGCCCGUCACACCAUGGGAUUUGGAUUCACCCGAAGGCACUGCGCUAACUCGCAAGAGAGGCAGGUGACCACGGUGGGUUUAGAGACUGGGGUGAAGUCGUAACAAGGUAGCCGUAGGGGAACCUGCGGCUGGAUCACCUCCUUUCUAAG
rnacentral:rRNA from 1 species